UACGUAGGUGGCAAGCGUUAUCCGGAAUUAUUGGGCGUAAAGGGUGCGUAGGCGGUUGAUUAAGUUUUAGGUGAAAGCGUGGGGCUCAACCCCAUACAGCCUAAGAAACUGGUCGACUAGAGUACAGGAGAGGGCAAUGGAAUUCCAUGUGUAGCGGUAAAAUGCGUAGAUAUAUGGAGGAACACCAGUGGCGAAGGCGGUUGCCUGGCCUGUAACUGACGCUCAAGCACGAAAGCGUGGGGAGCAAAUAGG
rnacentral:rRNA from 1 species